rnacentral:tRNA from 9 species
GCGGGUGUGGCGAAAUUGGUAGACGUACCAGAUUUAGGUUCUGGCGCCGAAAGGCAUGGGGGUUCAAUUCCCUCCACCCGUACCA